UUAGAGGCAAACGGGUGGACCCGCAAUACGUCGACCCGGGGGAUUCAACCAGGCCGUGCGUUCGGGACGCGUGGGGGUUAUGCGGAGCUGUAAAGCCCGUGCCUCUGCGCAGGUCUCCGGGCGGACUGGUGCACUUUCCUCGGGUUGAUUGCCACGACCGGCUCUCCGUGCGGCCACAAGCCUUUGCUGGGAAGGUGACCGUCGGCCCCGCGCCGGCGGUGUUACAGCCCAGCUCGUUCGUUGCGCUCGUCGGAGGGCCGAGGAAGUGUUGCCGUUUCUCAGCCACCCUCCGGCCAUCCUUGCUCGUCACGACUGGGGCGAACUGCUUCGUCAGUGCUCUCCCGACCGCGAGCGUAGGAAGGGCUGGUACGGUGCGAGAAUAGCUUCGGGCCAGUGGCGAAUCGGUCGGUCCUCCACCCGACCCGUCUUGA
rnacentral:rRNA from 1 species